AUGGACCAUCGUCGACAUAGACAAGUUCUGCUUCAAGGAAGAGACAUAGAAGAAGGCUCGACAAGAGGAAGGAAGCAGGUGUGGUUUAGCAACAUACCUCAUACAUGGUUGGUUGCUGACAAAGGAGGGCAGAAUUGGAUUACAAAGGCUAAAGAGAUGGAGGACCUAGCUCUCAAACGGACCAUGUUGGGAGAUUGUGAGGAAAAUAUGUUUCUAUGUGGAGGAAGCCUUUUAUAA
rnacentral:rRNA from 1 species